rnacentral:lncRNA from 1 species
ACCAACUUUAGUGAAAUUGAAUUUGUUUCCAUCAAAUGGUUGAAGAACUUUAUCAACACGGAACUCGGUUGGUCUCUUCUUGAGAUGACGACCUUCGUUUAGCUGCGCGAUAAAACCGUACUUCCCCGGUAUAACCUAUUAGUACCAAAUUUACCAGUAAAACCAUCAAACAUCAACAAUGUGAACACAGAAACUUGAUUCCUCAGAGCUCAAGUAAACGUCAACAAUGUGAAAACAGAAACUUGAUUCUUCAGAGCUCAAGUAAACGUCAACAAUGUGAAAACAAAAACUUGAUUCUUCAGAGCUCAAGUAAACAACAACAAUGUGAAACAGAAACUUGAUUCUUCAGAGCUCAAGUAAACGUCAACAAUGUGAAAACAGAAACUUGAUUCUUCAGAGCUCAAGUAAACAAGUGAAACUGAAACUUGAUUCUCCAGCUUAAGCAAACAUAUCAAAAGACUUGAGCUUCAAAGUAAAUCAAUGAACCAUAAAGUAAAGAGAUGAUUUACCUUGGUUUCACAGGCGGUAACAUCAUAACGAAAGAGUCCUCUUUGAAACCGAUCUUCCCACU